AUUUAUUUAUUUGUACACGAGAGUCGAGCGCCUGUCACGUGGUCUAGUCUCGUAGUAUUGUACGGCGCACUUAUCUGAGUCAGCCAUCUUGAUUGUAAGUGUGGUCUCGAGUAAUUUUUUUCAGGUGAUCGUAUCACGAGUUAGUUCCCCUCACACAAGCCAACACAUUCAGACCCGGCUUUUGUUAUAAGUGCAGCUUGUGCAAGAGCUUCUACGUUCUCAAAAGACAAUAUUUAACUGCUUGAAUCUUCGCUAAGGGUUGUAGUACACUGAAAGGAGUUAUUGCACUACCACAAGCCAACAACUAUCGGCUUGGUCUAUCGGUGCGGGUUGCACCACUGAGUGUCUGAAAGUGUUUGAAAGUGUUUUAAAGUGUCUGAAGCCACCUGAAAGUGCAAGAAAGUGAAAUAAGUUGUAUUGCAGUUGCUUUCUCCUUGCACUGUUGAGAAUUCACGGAGGCAUAUCUCAAAACGAAAAAGCAAGCAAAUGAUGUAAAGGAAAAUCCAGGCCCUACAAUAUUUGAUGUCAUCGAUCCAACAAGAACAGUAUGUGCUGACUACAGUCAAGGAAAUGAAGCUCUCUUUGGUGAAAAUGCUGUAA